UUUAUUUAGGUUUUCAUUUAUUCAAAUUCCAACCAGAAGCUAAAUACAAUUGGAAACCGGUAAGCACUAAGUUUUACUCCAAAGGAGUAGGAUCAUUCAGAUUUACUCCAAUAAAAGUAUGCAACCCUUAAGCAAAGCUUUUCUUCAUUUAAAAGAAAAAUAAACAAAAAAACUAUACAGUAGUCUUUCCUUAUGUUCAUUGCACAAAAUGAGUUCUGCUUUUAGAARUMUGACACUCAAUGGUGUUUUUUUUCCUCCCCGCACAAUUUAAGAUCCCAACUUUAAUAACAUUUCUACAUCAAAAAAACCCCUAAGUUUUCCUUUAGGAUGGUGUAAAAACCAGUAUUUCUGCACAAUUCACUGGAAUUGUUUUUCUUUAUAAUAAAAAUCUCUUCUUUUCAAAACCAAAAAACAAAAACCAAAAGGACAGUCCUCUACCUAUUGUGGUUUCUGCAGCUAUGAAUGUAUUUCUGUUUCAGAGCCGCUUAGCUACUUCAGACUCCAGAUCUGCUUUAACGUGUGUAACUGUGUGCACACUCGGCAGAAUCCUCUUUCGUAACAGCAACUUGGGGAAAGAGAUCUGGAAAUAAAAUACAUACAUUUAUGAGUACCAGGAAACAAACAUGACCCAGUAAUAUAUGAGGCAAGACUGCCUACAAUGAGAUGCUUUUUAAAGAUUUCUUUCCCAUGGUUGUAUCUUCUUUUUCUUUUUUACAUUCACUUCUCACCCUCCAAAUACUGAUGACAGGUGUCAAAGAGGCCAACACCAGCACAAAUGGAAAGACCAUCAAAAAUGAGUAUCACCUUGUGCUUUCAGAAACAUUUAAGCAUUUCAGUGUACAAUAGUCCUUUCAUUUCACAUUUUUAGUAAGAUGCUGAUGCAGUGCAGCAAAUAUGCAAAGCAUCUUCUUUCACACAGUCCGUGCAGAAGACAUCUAAUUUAAGUUCUGAGAUACAAAUGAUUAAAAAAAAAAAUCCAGGAUGAACAAGUUUCAAAAUGCAUAGUGUUCUGUGCAUGAGUCCAUUUUUCUUUAAACUCUGAAAAAAUCAAGUGGUAAGAAAAAAAAAAUUGCUGCUGCACUCUCUGAUCUUCUCCAUUUUGCUGGUCAGCACUCUAUUCUGGCAUGUAAGGAUGGAGGUGAUCCUCAAUGGUGCCAACUGCCCAGUGGGUAAGCUGUUCCUGUGGCAGGUAGAGGCAGAUGCUGCAUAACUUGAAGAUUGUAGCUUUGUUUUUUGGAGUCUGGAAGGGGAAAAAAUUUGUAGAAUAUUCUUAAGAAGGACCUCAACGUAACUGGCCAAUUAUCACAUGAAAAUCUCCCACAAUUUAUUAAGCACUUAAGAACACAGUAACAAAGCAUAUAGAGUAAGGCAAGAAACUAUGGUCCGUAUUCAUAGGGGACUUAGUCUAGCUGGGACAGAACCUUCACAUACAAAAUACAGAAAAAGAGUCAAUAAGAUACUAAAUGUUCACAGAAUUUAUGCAGACUUUAAAGUUACGAAAAUCAGAUUACUAGCUACAAGAAAUUAGGAUUAAAGGCAUAUCAUGGAGAUAGAUUUGAAUAAUUUGCAAUCACAUUUGUAUACAGAAAGACAGCAGAUGUGGUGAGAGCAGAAGGCAGAGAAAUCAGAAAUAGGUUAAGAGAUUUAAGCAUAUCCUGAGGUAAAGGACAAGGCCAAAGUAUCAACAGAUAAAUCACACUCGUUGAGUAUUUUAACAAAGCAGUUACCAUUUUAACAUCUAACUUCUGAUAAACAAGUGCUAGGUACUUUCACAAAAAACUACGGCUGGUAAGUGGAAGAUGAAGUCUGAACCCAGAACUGCCUUCAAAGUUUUCCAUCUUUUCACUACAGCACCUCUUUAAAAGAAAAAAGGCAAAAAGAACAGAAGGUGGACUUUGCCAAUGUCUGAAGCAGUCUAUAUACCUAUGUACAUAAAUGAACCCAUACAUAUAUAUUUUUUCAUUUUAACUUUUAAAACCUAGGACUUUCAUUUACUACAUUUAUAGAAAAGAACAUGAUCACAGAAGUUAUUUGUCCAAGGUCUCAUGGCCAGUAAGUUACUGCAUGUAUGUUAGAAUCUGAAUUCUAGGCAUGAGCUUCUAUACCACCACCCAUUCAAAAUUUUUUUGGUCUAGCCCUUAUCAUAUAUAUUAUGUUAGAAUAUAAGGGGGAGAUCUCUGCUAGAUGAUUUCAAUCAAAUUUCUUAAUUUCCUUAACUAUAAAAUGGGAAUAGUAAGAUCUAUACAUCAAAAGACUGUUAUGAGGAUUAAAUGAGCUCAUACACGGAAAGCUCUUAGUAUUGAGUUUGGUGCAUAAAACAGUUGACUCCUAAACAACAUGUGUUUGGGCUGCUCAGGGCCACAUAUAAGUAAAUUUUUUCAAUAAACAUAUUGGAAAAAAUUUGAGAUUUGUGAAAAUUUGAACAAAUUCACAGAUAAACCACAUAGCCUAAAAGUAUCAAAAAAAGAAAAAGGUUAUGUCAUGAAUGCGUAAAAUAUUAUGUACAGAUGACACGACACUUAAGACACAGGGAUUGGAACACAGGCCCUAAAUGCAGUUGAAAAUCCCCAUGUAUAAUUUAGUCUUCCCUCCAUAUAUACAGUUACACAUCAGCUGACUGAACAAACCAUGAAUUCAGCCAACUGGACUGAGCAGUUAUGUAUUUAUUGAAAAAAUGUCACGUGUAAGUGGACGAGUGCAGUUGAAACCUGUGUCAUUCAAGGGUCAACUGUAGACACUAGUCGAAUAUCCUGCUCUACAGUAUUUUCUCAGUAAGUAACUCAAACGAAAGUACACUAUAAGCAAUUAAAAAGGAUAAAAGAGUCAACCAAAAAAUAUUCACCGCAGGAGCACUAAGGUAAAUAGGAAACUAAAAACAAAAAAGGCCCCAAACAAAAAACACCCCACCUAAACUGUAUACUUUUCUAUCAGUUUUAUCACAUGCUUCCAGCGAAAUUAAUUUUCUUAACUCCCAGUUUCUUUUACUUGUAACUACACUUUCUAUAAGGUACAAAAUAUACAAUCUUCC
rnacentral:lncRNA from 1 species